rnacentral:tRNA from 1 species
UCCCUGACUGUCCAGUGGUUAAGACUGUACUCUUCCAAUGCAGUGAACACAGGUUCGAUCCCUGGUCAGGGAA